UACGCGUCUCUUGGCUAAGCUCCGUUUAUUUAAUUCUUUUACUUAAUUAAUUCAAGCCAUCCGGUAAUAAUUUAUCACUCAUUAGCUUCACAAAAUAAUAAUUAGUACUUAGUAAUAAAAAUUUUAAUAAAAUAAUCGAUAUUUAUUUGCUAAAAAGUAGUAUUAAUAUACUCGUUACUCCAGGCUGGUUAAUGACUCGAAUAUUUAAACUCGCGGUCGUUUUUUAAAAUUAAUAAAUAGUUUAUACAAUACGAGUAGAAAUAAUUAUUCGUAUCGUUGGAGUUGAAGACAAAGGAUCUUGGUGGGUAAGAAAAAUUAGCGGGAAGAAAGAUUUUGAAUGCAGAACAUCAGCGCUGUAGUACUACAGUUUCAGAAAUAACCGUCGGCGCUGUGCGCGUGCGCAGAUUCAAAUAGAGAGCAGUCAGCCAAUGUUCUAAAACUGUCAUGUCUACUGCUCAACAAACAUCUCUCGGCUGGUGCCAAAACUGUUUUGUAUAAAAGAAAAAUCCACAGUUCCUGGUUGAAGAUAGAUGCAGUAAAAUUAUUCGCGCGAUUCUGAUCAUGCAGCACUUGUGUUAGUCCUGGUUGCCGAGAGCGCAGAAAUACGUCCGCUGAGAAAUUGAUAGAAUUGUCUGCUGGUCUGGAUAUUUCUCAGCGUGGUGAGUGACUUUCUGCAUGAUAUAUAUAUUUUUUUUUAUAAAACGAUAUUAUUUUUAUUGAUUUCUUUUUGACUCGAGUCGAAGUCGUAGGCUCAUAUUGUUCUCUGAUUUUUUUCCCUUUUAAAUUUGAAUUAAUCGUAAAUAAUAUUUUUCGUGACGCGUUGUCCGAAGGUCGUAUUUUACGAUGUCAGUGCCUUUGAGUUUUUUACUAAGGACAUGAUAAUAAACAAAAAACGUUUAUAUUUUAAAGUUAUUCCCAACAACAGCGAAUCUACGGGGCAUUUUUCAUAAAAAUAUAUCAACAGUGUCAUGCUCAUCCGUCCUUAUAUGGCUUACAAGUCAAAAAAACAUUUUUCUGGGACUUUUUCCUACCAGAGAACAUCAAAAUAAAUAAAAAGUAUUCAUGUUGUGUGGAGUUAUUCCUCACCAGAGCAAAGUUACGGACUACUCUCGAUAAAAAUAUAUAAGCAGCUUCAUCAGUCUCCACCCACCUCGUGACUCCAGUUGAACAAAAAAAUUUUCUCGAGAUUUUGAGUUUCUUCUACUAGAACACAUGAUAAAGAACAGAAUACGUCGAUAUUGUGAGGAUUUAUUCCCAAUAUGAGAAAAGUUAAGGGCUGCCCUUUGAAAAAAACAAAGUGUCAAAUCUCAUGCCUGGAUUUCUUCUACUCGAGGACAACAUAACGAACAAAACUGUUCAUAUUGUGAGGAGUUAUUCCCAACAUAUAAAACAUACGAAUCAAAAAGGGUGAUAAGGGCUGGAAAUAUAAAAUUCAUGCGUAUCCAUUAAUUAGUCUACUGCGUUGCCCUGAGAUCGUCUUUCACUAUCACUGAUAUUAAUUAUAAAGAAGAUUCAAGAUAGAACUGAAAAGUCGUGAUGAUCACGCAUUAAUUGUCAAAUAAACAGAUGAUCUUUUCGUGAUUGCGUAAUUCGUCAGUUCAUCAUACGUGUUGUGUCGGUGGUUUUACGUGCUGAAAGCAGAGAUAUACGUCCGCCG